GCACAGGUGCCAGUUGUGCCAUAAACCGCCGCUGUGUGUACGUGAGUGCCAGCGUAGGCCGUCAGUCUUUCAGCGGCGGUGAGAGCGAGAGGACGUGUCGCUCCGUUUUCUGUCUGUUCUCUUCAUAGAAAAUGUGAAAACGUCCUAGUGUUAAUAACAAGGAAAUACAAAACAUAUACGCGAGAGAAAAGAGGAAAUUAUCCCUGAAAGAAAUAGAAAUUUGCCAAAUAAACCGAUAAAAGGAAUGAGAAAAUAAUAACACACAAAGAAUUUUAUCCAUAAACUCAUACCGUCCAUUAAAAUAAGAGAGAGAAAAAAAUAAGAUAAACAACAACAACAA